AAUGAGCAGGGGCGCUCUGACCUUUAGCGAGACAGCUAAGGUUAUGCACAUAACAUUUGCUUGUUUACUCUGCAAAAUAAGCAACGAGUUGGAAACUCCGAGCUUCUGCCCGCGCCUCCGCGUGCACUUAAAAACACAACAACACGAACCAGGCUGCCGGACUUCCCAGCUCGGGUGCGCAGCGGCUGUUAGCUGCUUUGCUCGCUUCUAUCCCAAUGCAACUUUAAUAACAGGAGCCAAGACUGCUCAGAAAAAUCACAGCUGUAGCUGGAGGCCAAAAGAAGAAGAAGAAAAUCCACGAGAACGAGAAAGUCUGCCGGCUCAGGAGCUCAGCAGGAAUCCGGGCUUGUACUGCUGCCCUCAGGCCCAGUGGUAUUGGGGUUCCGGGCUUAGCACCCCAGUCCUGGCACAGUGGCACAGCAUGAGGGCGCUGGGGACUGUGGCUUGCAGCUUCCAAGAGCGCCUGGCAGCUCCUAGGCCCCAGGUGCACCCAGUCGCAAAGGGACAACAGGGCCACCAAGAGGGACCCCUGGGCCCGGCUACUCACUUGCUCCCCAACUCUCCCAGUCUGUGAGUCCCUGGAAGUACCUCCUGCUGUCGGAUUCUAAUAAAAGUUUUAUGUGGGUCA